rnacentral:rRNA from 1 species
UACGAAGGGGGCUAGCGUUGCUCGGAAUUACUGGGCGUAAAGGGCGCGUAGGCGGGUCGUUAAGUUGGGGGUGAAAGCCCAGGGCUCAACCCUGGAAUUGCCUUCAAUACUGGCGGGCUAGAGUUCUGGAGGGGAUAGCGGAAUUCCUGGUGUAGCGGUGAAAUGCGUAGAUAUCAGGAGGAACACCGGUGGCGAAGGCGGCUAUCUGGACAGAGUCUGACGCUGAUGCGCGAAAGCUAGGGGAGCAAACAGG